UGCUUUUUCUUUUCAGGUACUCGUUUGUAUCGGAACCAAGUGGCUGGAGGCAGCCCUGUUACACGCCUGUUUCAGGUAUUGGUGGCAUCCAUCAGGAAAUAUAAAGUUGCAGUACCUGCAAAUAAAUCUAUUUUACAUGAGACAGCAGAUAAAGAGUCCAAUAUCAAAGGAAGCCGCAAGAUUGACCACACGAAUGAUCUCAGGUUAGUGCCUGGACUUUAAUCUUAAUUCUCUUUGUUGCAAAUUCAGACUGUUGCUUUAAUUCCUUACCUUCGGGAUAUGGCUAUAACUUUCAGUUUCUUCGACAAAGCGGCAGUGGAAAUCGAAACUGACCAAUUAAAGGGCUCAGUAAAUCCGUGGAGACUUUGCACUGUUACACAGGUCGAGGAGCUGAAAGCAAUAAUUCGGUUG
rnacentral:lncRNA from 1 species